rnacentral:tRNA from 1 species
GCGGGGGUACCCGAGCCAGGUCUAAGGGGCGGGGUUCAGGUCCCCGUGCCGCAGGGCUUCGUGGGUUCAAAUCCCACCCCCCGCA